rnacentral:rRNA from 1 species
AGAGUUUGAUCCUGGCUCAGAUUGAUCGCUGGCGGCAGGCCUAACACAUGCAAGUCGAGCGGUAGAGAGGAGCUUGCUCCUCUUGAGAGCGGCGGACGGGUGAGUAAUGCCUAGGAAUCUGCCUGGUAGUGGGGGAUAACGUUCGGAAACGGACGCUAAUACCGCAUACGUCCUACGGGAGAAAGCAGGGGACCUUCGGGCCUUGCGCUAUCAGAUGAGCCUAGGUCGGAUUAGCUAGUUGGUGAGGUAAUGGCUCACCAAGGCGACGAUCCGUAACUGGCCUGAGAGGAUGAUCAGUCACACUGGAACUGAGACACGGUCCAGACUCCUACGGGAGGCAGCAGUGGGGAAUAUUGGACAAUGGGCGAAAGCCUGAUCCAGCCAUGCCGCGUGUGUGAAGAAGGUCUUCGGAUUGUAAAGCACUUUAAGUUGGGAGGAAGGGCAGUAAAUUAAUACUUUGCUGUUUUGACGUUACCGACAGAAUAAGCACCGGCUAACUCUGUGCCAGCAGCCGCGGUAAUACAGAGGGUGCAAGCGUUAAUCGGAAUUACUGGGCGUAAAGCGCGCGUAGGUGGUUUGUUAAGUUGGAUGUGAAAUCCCCGGGCUCAACCUGGGAACUGCAUUCAAAACUGACUGACUAGAGUAUGGUAGAGGGUGGUGGAAUUUCCUGUGUAGCAGUGAAAUGCGUAGAUAUGUGGAGGAACACCGAUGGCGAAGGCAGCCCCCUGGGUCAAGAUUGACGCUCAUGCACGAAAGCGUGGGGAGCAAACAGGAUUAGAUACCCUGGUAGUCCACGCCCUAAACGAUGUCUACUAGUUGUCGGGUCUUAAUUGACUUGGUAACGCAGCUAACGCGUGAAGUAGACCGCCUGGGGAGUACGGUCGCAAGAUUAAAACUCAAAGGAAUUGACGGGGACCCGCACAAGCGGUGGAUGAUGUGGAUUAAUUCGAUGCAACGCGAAAAACCUUACCUACCCUUGACAUGGCUGGAAUCCUUGAGAGAUCAGGGAGUGCUCGAAAGAGAACCAGUACACAGGUGCUGCAUGGCUGUCGUCAGCUCGUGUCGUGAGAUGUUGGGUUAAGUCCCGCAACGAGCGCAACCCUUGUCAUUAGUUGCUACGAAAGGGCACUCUAAUGAGACUGCCGGUGACAAACCGGAGGAAGGUGGGGAUGACGUCAAGUCCUCAUGGCCCUUAUGGGUAGGGCUUCACACGUCAUACAAUGGUACAUACAGAGCGCCGCCAACCCGCGAGGGGGAGCUAAUCGCAGAAAGUGUAUCGUAGUCCGGAUUGUAGUCUGCAACUCGACUGCAUGAAGUUGGAAUCGCUAGUAAUCGCGGAUCAGCAUGUCGCGGUGAAUACGUUCCCGGGUCUUGCACUCAAAGCCCGUC